UACAGAGGUCUCAAGCGUUGUUCGGAUUCAUUGGGCGUAAAGGGCGCGUAGGCGGCGGGGUAAGUCGGGUGUGAAAUCUCAGAGCUCAACUCUGAAAUGGCACUUGAUACUGCUCUGCUAGAGGACUGGAGAGGAGAUUGGAAUUCACGGUGUAGCAGUGAAAUGCGUAGAUAUCGUAAGGAAGACCAGUGGCGAAGGCGAGUCUCUGGACAGUUACUGACACUGAGGCACGAAGGCCAGGGGAGCAAACGGG
rnacentral:rRNA from 1 species